rnacentral:misc_RNA from 1 species
AGUCUUAGCCUUUUUCUCUCGCCUGCACUUGCCUUCUACUUGUCCCUAUCGAUUCGGGAAGCUGCUGUUCUGUGUCCGCGGCUCCGUCAUCAUCUUCGUCUCCCGUUCGUCAUUGUGGACUGUUACGCGAUUUGUGAAACUACCGUCAUAUGCGCAGCGUUGUCCUUCAGGCCCCAGCCUGCGCACCAUCUACCGCCUCUAUUCUCCCCUACCCGCGUCAUCAUGAGUGCUGUUGAGGAGUUCGAGUUCGAGCCUUUCACCGCUCGCCAGAGCAAGUACAAGGCAUGCCUUGAUGAGCUUGUGGGGCUCAACUUGGGCCCCAAGUCCAUGGUAACGGAUGCUGUGACUCUUCGUAAGUUUUACAGCAAGGACAAGUCGAGCCACGCCGGCUCCGUCCCUGUGGCGGCCGUCCGGCCGAACUCGACGGAACAGGUGGCUGCGGUGGUACAGGUGUGCGCAAAGUACAAGGUGCCCAUGACGCCACGUGGUGCCGGCACGGGCAUCGAGGGCGCGUGCAUCCCAUACGCUGGCGGCAUCGUCAUCGACACGGAUCGUUUGACUCGGAUGGACUUCGACCUCGACAACUCGUGCGUGUGGGUGGGCGCUGGGGUGCGCAAAAUGACUCUCAACAAGGCAGCUGCCAAGCACGGCUUCGUCUUUGGCCCCGACCCGUCCUCGAACCCCUGCGUCGGUGGCAUGGUGGCCACCUCCGGCAGCGGCAUGUGCACGCUGCGCUACGGUACCACUCGCGAGAACGUGCUGUCCUUGCGCGUCGUCACCCCGCAGGGCACCGUUGUGCAGACGCGGCAGGUGGUGCGCAAGUCAUCGGCUGGGCUGGAGCUGACUCAGCUGUACAUUGGUAGCGAAGGCACCCUCGGCGUCAUCUGUGAGGUAUGCUUUCGUCUGUUUCCCAUUCAGAAGUGCAGCUCCGGCGGCGUGGGCUUCUUCGCCACGACGCACGCGGCAGUGCGUGCGGUGGUGGCGCUCAAGCAGCAAGGUGUCCCUCACACACUGCUGCGAUGCGAGCUGCUCAACAAGGAGAGUGUAGCGGCGGCCAAUUCGUACAACAAAACGAACCUGCGCGUGUCGGCGUGCGUUCUGCUUGAGUUUGUCUGCGACAACGAGGGGCGGCGCCACAUCCACGGCGACUACAAGAAGGUGGCCGCAGUUUUCAAGAAGUUUGGUGCCAAGGAGAUACGCUACUUGAAAGACGGCAAGGCCAUGGACACCGUUUGGGAGGCCCGCCGUAGCUGCUGCUUCUCCGCCAUGCACGCGGGCAAGACAAAGAGUGCUCAGAAAGUGAUCACGACAGACGUCUGCGUCCCCAUCAGCCGCCUGGCGGAGUGUGUCGAGGCGACAGAGGAGGAUUUCAAGCAGAACAGCCGCCCGUGCCUGAUCUGUGCCCAUAUUAGCGACGGCAACUUCCACACACUGGUCCCGUACACCGACGCGGCGGACCUCAAGCGUGCUCGCGAGCUGGAGAUUCGCAUGGUGCGCCGCGCUGUCGAAAUGGGCGGCACCGUGUCGGGCGAGCACGGCGUUGGCAUUGGCAAGGUGCGCCACGUCACGCAAGAGCACGGUGAGGCCCACAUUUGCGUGCAGGAGACGAUCAAGAAGGCGCUCGACCCCGACAACAUCAUGAACCCCGGCUGCUUUUACCCGUUCCAGCAGGUCAUGUACCCCACCGCGCACUUAUAGCGCAUGCCUCUCCGUCUGUGGUUGCUAGCGCACAUACUCCAAAGGUUCUCCUUCCUGUUCUUUCUCGUUUCUACCCUUUUACUCUACCCUCCCCCUCUCUCUUCCUAUGUUUUCCUAUCGUGUCUUCCCGAGCUCAGGUCUCUAUCUUUUUGUUUGGUGGCUGCCCGAAGGCGUACAAACACGCGUGCUCUGUCUCUCUUCACCUCCCGUGUGCCUUAGGUGCCGUAAGCUGGUUGCUUUUCGCCGUUCUCCGACUUGGCUUCUUGUCCAUCUUGCUUCUCUCUCUCACACGUGCCGCCAGUGGUGCUCCUCGUUUCUUUCCCUCGCGCGGGCGCACGUAUAAUCUACCUCUUGCGAGGCCGUAACAUGGCUCUAUGGCGUCCGUGAUGGGGAGAAUGAGCAUGGGGAGGGUUCGGGCAGCAGAUGAUUACGAUGGUGGACGUUGUGGUGCGGUGGAAUCGACAGAGAAGCUGAUCGCACAAGAUGGGGGUGCAUGAGCAGCAGCUCCCAGUGCGGUCCUCCACCCGGCAUACGUGCCGCCGCACACGGAGACUUUGAUGAGGGUCCCCUUAAAAAAAAAAACAUUGUGCACUUCCCUUAUCGUUGCUCCACCCCCCCUGCCAGCCCCGGCGCCCACACGAAACCUCAUUUUUUCGACUCGUUGCCUCUCCUGCCGCGCCACCCGUCACCACUCAAAGGCGUGUUGCCGUUCUCGGUGCGUGCGCGUGUGCGAAAGAGGGAAAGACAUGCAAGUGCUUACAUAUACAUCCAUUCAUACAUCUCUUUCUAUACAUAUAUAUAUAUACACACAUGCGUAUACAUGCUUUCAUGUAUGAUGUAGGCGUGCGCAUCCAUUCCUCAUCUCCGUUUUCCUUGAACGUGUGGCUGGUUGGUUGGUGUCAUUCCGUUCUUCUUAUGCCCCUGGACUUUGCAUUCCCCAGCGAAAAUACAACGCCGAUGUCCGCGGGAAUGUGUGGGUUUGUGCACGAUCAAUAAAGAUCAUGGAUUUAACGCCGCAUCGCACACGGAAUGGUUGCCUGAAAACCGGACAGACAGGGAGAGGAAGAGAAGCCCACAAGUCCGCUGGCGCACACGUGCACAAGCGCGCACGACAUCAUGACCAUCCUGAGCUCACGCUCACUUAUGUUUUUUCUUAUAUUUGUUUUAUGCUGUGGACUUCUCUCUCUUGUCGGUUUGAAUGUAAA